CUGGCACCACUGUCUUCCCCAGGCUCAUCUCCUUCAACAUAUUUUGUGCUUUAACCACAGAUAACUGUUUGGAACCUGUCUCUGUAUGCCCGCAUAUCCCAUCCUUUCCAAAUGGGAUGACCUUUCUCUCUUUUUGCACCAGGAAAACUCGUCCUCAAAAAUCAGAAAGAAAUUUUCCUUCACCAUAAUGCCUGAUGACUCAGAGGACUUUUUUCAUGCCCUGAAAUAAUCUAUUGAGAUUGACCCUGUGAAGGAUGUAUUAUUAAACACGCUGUUCAGAAAAGGACACCAAAGCUCAGAGAAGGUCUUUGAGAACCAAAAUGUGAGACUGCAGGGGAAACUAUGUCUUCAUUCACCUAGGGAUCACAUUGGAACCUGUGAACGACAAGACAUUUGACCAUCAACCCACCAUUUCCACACAGAAGUGUCAGAGUUGAGAGUGAGCUGGGUGUACAAGAAGCAGCUGCAAGGCAUCAGGGAAGUCCCUGAAGCGGGAUAAAGACCCUAGAGAAGCCAGUAUUAGAAGAUGAAGUGGCAUCCCAAAGAAAGAAAAAGAUAAACCAUCAGAGGAGAUAGGGAUUGGAAUAGAAUAAAAGAUAGAGAACUUCCUUCUCCAAGAGUUCUGUUUGCGUAAGUCAACAACAACAAAAAGAGGGUUGGGGGCGGAAAUGAUGUCAAGAUAAAUGAACCAUGAAACCCAAUUUAUAAAAGAGCUACCCAGAAUUGCAGCAAAUGCACGGAUACUCCCAUCUCAAAUGCACACCUACAACAUGAGCUAUGAAACCCAGUUUAUAAAAGAGCUACCCUGAAUUGCAGCGAAUGUAGGGAUACUCCCAUCUCAAAUGCACCCCUGCAGUGACAUCUGUCAGGAGCCUAUGGAGACAGCUGCCUCACCCAGAAGGCCUCUUGCAUUUUUAUUUUUGCAAAUAUUCAGCAGGGAUGGAGGGGACUGCAUCUGCUCUCUCCACUUUCUUCCUGGAGAGAGGAGGACAUGAAGGAGAACAGAAGGCAAGGACAAUACAUUCCACUCACAUUUCUAAGAAUUCCAUGACCGGAAGCUGCCACAAAAAUAAUGCAAAAGUCUGUCACCAAUCACAGAUGCAAGGCCUCACAGAAAGCUCACUUGAGCUGAGAGGUGAAGUUGUUCCCUGCAGAUGCUCACAUGAAAAUGAGAUAAAUAGUGAACUCUUUGAAGAUGCACUGGCAAGAUUUCCUCGACAAGGCAGAAAUGAGAAACAUGACACAGAAGCCUUUAAGGGUGACCUCAGAGGAAAACAGAAGUUGCUGGAUGAUACAGAAGCAGAAAAGGGAAAACCAGAGCUCCGAGGCACCGCGUGUCAACCACCAGAUGGAUUAGCUCUGCUGAUCAACCGAUCAUGGAGUGUGGAGCCAGAAGCAGAAA